GGGGGCGACAGGUCUCGACGGGGGAAGCGCAAGCAGGAGCUGCCGGGCGAGAUUCCAUCGGCUCGUUAAACGGUGGACCUUUAAAAUAACUGCAAACGAUAAUUACGCUCUAGCUGCUUAAUUAAAGCUGCUACAUCCAACCGGCCGAUUCUCGCUACGCUUGUUGGGUGUCGACUUAAGCGAGAUACUCUGAAAUCCUCUGCUCAUGGGACUCAGGGGAAACUCAAGUGAGCUAGCCGGUACGCAUCCUGUCCCUGGGAGUCGUAUUCGGCGAAGUUAAAGCAGGGACUAUCUCGGUAGAUGCUCGUGUAAGUGUUCCUUCGGACGGUGGGUUCAAAUCCCCCCGCCUCCACCA
rnacentral:tmRNA from 1 species